GAUGAAGACGCAGCGAAAUGCGAUAAGUAAUGUGAAUUGCAGAAUUCAGUGAAUCAUCGAAUCUUUGAACGCACAUUGCGCCCUCUGGUAUUCCGGGGGGCAUGCCUGUUCGAGCGUCAUUAUAACCACUCAAGCUCUCGCUUGGUAUUGGGGUUCGCGGUUCCGCGGCCCCUAAAAUCAGUGGCGGUGCCUGUCGGCUCUACGCGUAGUAAUACUCCUCGCGAUUGAGUCCGGUAGGUCUACUUGCCAGCAACCCCCAAUUUUUACAGGUUGACCUCGGAUCAGGUAGGGAUACCCGCUGAACUUAAGCAUAUCAAUAAGCGGAGGA
rnacentral:misc_RNA from 1 species